AGUGAACGCUGGCGGUAGGCCUAACACAUGCAAGUCGAACGGCAGCACAGUAAGAGCUUGCUCUUACGGGUGGCGAGUGGCGGACGGGUGAGGAAUACAUCGGAAUCUACUUUUUCGUGGGGGAUAACGUAGGGAAACUUACGCUAAUACCGCAUCCGACCUACGGUUGAAAGCAGGGGAUCUUCGACCCUUGCGCGAUUGAAUGAGCGGUGUCGGGUUUAGGAGUUGGGGGGGGAAAGGCCCCCCCAGGGCACGGACCGUAAGUGGCCCUGGGGGAUGAACAGCCAAAAUGGAAAUUAGAAACGGGCCAGACUCCUAAGGGAGGCAGCAGUGGGGAAUAUUGGAAAAUGGGCGGAAGCCUGAUCCAGCCAUACCGCGUGGGUGAAGAAGGCCUUCGGGUUGUAAAGCCCUUUUGUUGGGAAAGAAAAGCAGCAGGUUAAUACCCCGCUGUUCUGACGGUACCCAAAGAAUAAGCACCGGCUAACUUCGUG
rnacentral:rRNA from 1 species